rnacentral:tRNA from 1 species
GAGCCGAAAGGCACGUCGGUUAUCGCCUUGUAAGCGGGAUGUCCCAGGUUCGAGUCCUGGUCGGCACA